rnacentral:lncRNA from 1 species
GUACAAUUGUUAGCUCGCCUCUUUUGCCAACAGGUAUUUUAUGAGUACCCAUUGCUAAGUUUCUGUGAUUUUUUAAAGAUAAUAAUACUAAUGAUUGAUUUGAUUGGAAGCUACAGAUUUUGAAAUGAGGUAUUUCUUCCAUCAGUUUGUGUUUUCAUUGUUUACCGACUUCCUUGCCUUCGUCUUUUUCAUCGCUAUGAUCUUCCUCUUAUCUUCCAAGGUGCUCACUUUCCGACUCACUUGGGUUAUAUCAGGAAGGGGAUUGAAUCUCACAGAUUAGCUCAGGUAUUUCCAUUGUUCUUAUUAUUAAUUUUUUUAAUCAAUUGUCAAUUCAAUGACUUUGCUCUCUUGGAGAAAUCUUAGAAAUGGAAAUCAUUCCCAAUUUCUGUUUUGGUUGCCGAUAAAACAGUGGAAAGCAAAGACCAAGGGUGCUUGAAGAAAAAAAAAAAAUUCAUUUUUUUAUCUGCUUUUGGUUGCUGUAUCCUAAAUAUGGAGAAAAAAAAUUAAUGAUAAAACACAAGGAAAAAAGAAGUGAAGAUUAAUCAUGUUUCGACAAAAUAGAAAUUGGGUGCUUUAUUCUUUUUGGGCUUAACUUUUCUCAUAGAUUGCUUGCACUUGAGGGCAUUCCCCCGCAUGUUAUUGUUUUAAUGCUUUUGUCCUCUGUUGGGUCAUUUGGGUUGGUGUCAUUUUACAUUGCUAACCUUAUGUUUGUAUAUUUUGCUUGAAUUUCAGCUGCACCCAGAAAACUAUCUGAGAAGAUAAUCUGCAGAGCAGGGGACUUGCAAUCUACUGAGGUUAAGUAUCUUUGAAACCACUCCAAGGACCUCCUCUCCUUUGAGUUGUAGUUUCAUUUAAGUUGCCAAAAACUCCUGCAGUAACUUUGAUACCUCGCCAGCUACAUGUUCCAAUGGAUCUUUUUUUGCUUCACAGUUUCUUAGGUUCCAUUUAAUUUGGUAUUUAUUUUGGUGUGAUAUAUUUCUCUUAGGGUGUGUCAAAUGGUAAAGCUGCAAGUAAACCAUCUAUUGAUAAUAAUAAAAAUGAGCUUUCUAACCCUAAACCCUCUAAUAUCUGAGUAUGUUGUUGAAUCUAUUGGGUGUUUUGUUGAGGUUAAUUUUAGGGUACAGCAAUGGAUUGAAACAUCUGAGCAUGUUGUUGAAUGUUUUGAGUGUUUUGAGACUGAUGGAGAGAGAAAAACAGAGGAAAAUAGUAUCUGAAUAGAGUUUUUUUCUUUCAAUUACUUAUAAGAUUUCUUCAUAUAAAGCCCUUUGUUUAAUAUCAGUUUCUAUUGAGCUCCCUUAGUUUUUGGUGGAUGUUGGUGUGUAAGUGUGUGUUCUUCCUGUUAUUCACACUGAACCCAUUUUUCUGGAAGGCCAUAACGGUAUAAAGUAGGUAUAAAUUAGGUAUAAAUUAGGUCAAAAUGCUUCUGUAGAGGACUGUUCUGUAUGUAUGGAAUUUUGAUCUUUGUGGAAAUAUGAAUGGUAUGUUAGAAAGUGAAUUCAUAUAGACCGCAUAGUUGGAAUUUUGAGUUCUUAGGUUUAUUUUUGUGCAAAGUCUUCUGUUAGAAGAUUCACUGAAGAGCCAUUUCUUUCUUUUUUCAGUCCUUCUUCUAUCACUUGAAAGGCUAAAGUACCUGCAAAGGCAUGAAUUCUUGCAGGAAUUAUAGCUCAUGAGAGCAAUACUUUUUUUUAUAUAAAUCUAUUUAAAGGAUGAGACAUAGAAGGAUCUUUGAAAAUUAUGGUCUGGAAUGGAUAUUUUGCAGACCAAAGUUUGAGAGGUCUGUCAUUGGGAAUGCAUAAUUGUAUCCGAAAGCUUCCCGUGAUGAACUUUAGGUCAAACUCAUAAAGAGAGAACAUUUAAAUUCGUAAAGAAGGGGUAGUGUUCAAGCUAUUUCCCAAGUUAUUAUUUCAAAUCUUUGCCCUUCCAAGUUUUAAAGGUUUAAAUUGUUUGUUAGGGUUUCUCAAUUUGGGUGUUUGAUUUACGAAUUUUAAUUCUUCUCUCUUUCUAAGUUUGAAAACUACCUUCAUUAUCUGGUUGGAGUUGUUGAUACAACCAGAACCAGAUUUUAAAUUCAGUUGGGAUUGUUGGGAGAUAAGAAUGGGAGAUUUUUUUGGCUGGCUCUUUGUCAGUUGGGAUUUGUUUUUGUUUUCUUUUCUUAAUGCUUCUUAAUUCCUGUUUUGCUUUAGCAAAGUGUUCAGCUCGCAUGAAUUUGAUCUUUCGGUUAAUAGAGCUUAGAAAUUAGCUUACGGCACCAUAUGAAAAUGGGUUUAAUUUUCUUUAGGUUUAUAGUGAAGAAGUCGAUCGUUUAAAAGGGUUUUUCUUCAAGAACAAACAUAUAGUGUAAUUUAAGAUAAACAAAAAGAAACUAAACUAUUUUUAUAUCACCAAAAAUUUCAGUGUCUCUGAUACCUAAUCAGACCAAAGUGAGUCAAAUUAAAGUUAGUAACCAACUGAACUUACUACAAGUGAAAUGUGUCUGAACAAUGAGUUGAGGCAAACACCAGAGGAGCCACAAUAAGUUAUUAAUUGUUCUUCAAAACAAGAAAACAAACUAAAGAAACACAUAAUUUCAAAAGUUCAGAGUGAAUUGUGUCCUGUUCGCGUUUUUUUUAAAAAAAGAAAAACUCCACAAUCAGUUUUGCCCUUGCAUGGCCCUCUGAAAUUUGGAACUGUUCAGUUAAACCCAGAUGUGCCAUAAGAAGUCAGACAUGGGUGAGCAGCUCUCCUCCUCGCCUGAGCUGCUGAGCCUGACCACUCCAUCGACAUUGAUUGGCGGCAUAAGGGAGCAUCUCCACCCACACAUGACUUACAAACUGCCACUUUCUCCCAUUAGUCCCCCCUCUAUCUGACUCCAGGGACUGCAAGGCUUUAGCAAGCCUGCAUGCAUCAAAUAGAACUGACUUGCUUCUAUCUCCUUUCACUUUAGAUGGAAGGAUGUCUGUGCACACAUCCAGUAGCUUUGUGCAUGCUUUCCUUUCACCCAAUUUCAUUAUUUUCUUUUCCUUGAAAAAUUCUUCAGCCUCAGCACAUGUGUCUCUAAACCUUAUCUGUCCAAUCCCAUUCAGUAGCAUGAAGGGGCACAUGACUAAUAGUUCAAUAACAGCUUACUGUCUUCACAAUUUUCACUAGGAACCGAGUUCGAGUUUCGAUUCACAUCAGAAUAAUAACAUAGAUCGGUUUGUGCAUUUGGUAUUUGUUUUUGUGUGAUAUUUUUCUCUUAGGGCGUGUCAAAUGGUAAAGCUGUUGAUUUGUUGGAAUUUAGGGUUUAUGAUUUGUUGAUUAAAUUUUGUGAUGGACCUCUUUUCCUCUCUCUGUUUGUGCAUUUGUCUUAAUUAAAUUUGUUUCUUAAAAAAAAAAUAAAAUGGUCUGUUUGAUUAAUUGAUAUGACAGUUUGCUUUGAUUAAUUCAUGUGUAUGACAGAAAAGGUUGGGAGCUGCUUUUGGAGCCUCAUUUAUUUGGCCUGCGAGCUUGAUUUACUUCUCCAGGUUUUCAUUCUCUUCCAUCUCCAUCUCCGAUUUUAAUCUAUUGGUUUGGAAAAGCUCAUAUUCAAGUGAUUUUUAAACUCUAAAUCCCUAAUUGAUGAUAAUGCCUAAUAUUUUUAGUUAGUUGAAAUUUUUAUAAUGAGUUAUUAGAUGAAUAUUGAUGAUUUUCUUUGUGGAUAAUGAUUUAUUAGAUUGAAUGAAUAUUGAUGAUUUUGUGUGUGGAUAAUGAUUUGUUGGAUUAUAGAUGACUAUAUAUGAUUAUUUGAUUUGUUGGAAUUUAGGGUUUAUGAUUUGUUGAUUAAAUUUUGUGAUAGAAUUUUUUUUUUAUAACUUAAUAAUCUGUUUAUCGAUGAUGUGUAAAUAACAUAGUAGCAUAUUUAAAUUUUUUAACGGGUGUUUUGAAUCAAGUGCUUCCUUCUAUUCUUCAAAAAGACAUCUAUUCUGGUAAACUUAAUUGAGUUUGAGCUUAUGGGGUUAAACUUUUUGCCAUAUUUUUAUUGCACUGUUUCUUUUCUUAUUCUUAUAUGCAGGGAUGAUUUGUUUCUUUUCUUUUUUUUUUUCCUUCUUCUCAAUUUUAAACAGAUUUACAGUACUUUCUCUUGCUGAAAUUUUGUGAAAUAUAUGUAUAUAGGGGAGCUCAAAUUAAGAAAUAGUGGUUACGCAUUAUUCCUUUUUCAUAAAAUUCAAUUUUUCUUCAAUACAUCCAACUAUGAUUCUUUUACCUCUCUUCAACUUUUCCUUUAGAUAAACACAGAAUUUAAAAUAUGUUUACUUUGUGUUACAUCAAUUGGAAAACCAUCUAGAACUUGCUCAUUAGUUCUCUUAAUUUCGUUACUUUGUGUUUCCUCGAUUGGAAAACCAUUUAUAACUUUCUUAUUAAAUUGUUAAAUUAUAUUAUUCAUGUUUAUACAUAAUUAGAUGUUUAUGAUUAUUGUCCUAACUCGAUUUUCCCCAUUCAUCAACACUAACACUUACUAUUUUCCCACUUUUUUAUAACAGGUCAAGAUCUCCAUCAAAGAGAAGAAAAGUCAUGAAGAAAUUGCAAAACAAAACCUGCCCAAUUAAACAGCAUGCUACUCAAAACUAUCCAAAUUUUGCUAUUUUGAUAACUGCUUCCCGCUAUUAACAUCUCAAUGUAUAUACAAACAUGCCUACUAUUUUAACAUAACAAGCAGCCUGUAAAAUAUGUUAUUACUUUCUUUUUUAGCAACUUAUACUUCCUUAGUUAAGCAUAAUGCUACAAAUUAAAUCUCAUUGUAUAUAUAAACAAUCUUAUUUUGUCUACGUAAUUUCAAAACCCG